UUUUUUUUUAAAAGAACACUUUUAAAAAUAUUUAUUUAUUUAUUUAUUUAUUUAUUAACUAUAUGUAAGUACACUGUAGUUGUCUUCAGACACACCAGAAUGAGCCACCAUGUGGUUGCUGGGAUUUGAACUCAGGACCUUUGGAAGAGCAGUCAGUGCUCUUAACCGCUGAGCAGUGCUCUUACAUGCUGAGCCAUCGCACCAGCCCCCCUCCCCCCUUUUUUUUUCUUUGCUACGAGGUGUGUUUUAUCUUCAUCAAUCACACAAAUAAUUUUCUAUAAUAUCCCAGGGCAAACCGGUGAAAUUUGGCAGUCCAAUUUGUGGAGGGGUCCCCUUCAGAGACCCGCGGGCCAGUGGCAUUCAGCUCUGAGUGCCCGGGUUCACAGUACAGCUUGUGUCCAUCUUGCAGGUGGCUCUUCCUCCACAUCACGAGGGAGUCUUGGAGAUGACGGGGCGGGGCGGGGCAAUCUUCCUAGGCUUUUUAGGAGAUUUCACUCGUCCUUACCUGUUCGAUGGUCUCUUUGGUCGGCAGGGUGUUAUUCUCCUGCGUCUCGGUUUUCUUCAGCUUGGCCUUAUCGAAGCUGGCGAUUUCCCGCAUGUCUGCCUUGUCUGCCAUUUUCUUACAACACGUGGAUUCUCUUUCCGAGCUCGCGCUUGCGUUGCUGCAGUGAGAGACCGAGUCCUUACAUUCUUAAAGCCCACCUCCAAUGACACGGUUCCUUCAACAUGGCCAUUUUAAGUCUCACUGUUGGCUAUGGACACCACUCCAGAGGUGGGCAAAGCCUUUCCUGUUGUACUCCCUGUGUAAACAGUAAAUGUCAUAUACUUUGUAAACUUUAUAAACCCUCAAGACAGGAAAGUGGCCAGGCCUCUGCCUGAGGGGCCGGAGCAGCCGGUAACCUCCCCCAUAUCUCCCUAACUGUUGUAACAGGUUUCCAGCCUCUUUAACGGUCACAGAGAACACCUCUAGUCCCUUAACAGGACGCUCUCUAGAUUAUGCUAAUUUUAGGUGGAACUGCUGAACAGGAAAACCCACCAAUCCCUGAGAUCAUUCAAGCUCAGGUCUUGAAAACCCACCAAUCCUCACCCUGGAAAUCUCCGCUCGUAGAAAGCUCCACCCACUAAGGGAUCCUAUAUAAACGCUGUGUCUGCUCAGCUCCCUGCUGUCUGCUCCCUGGAGCAGAGGUAGCCACCCCUAGAUUUAUCCCUCCGCACCCUGGAUCCUCCCUCUAAAUCUCUUUUAUGAGAUUUGCUGCCUGCUCCUGAGCUCUUGAGCUCAGCCGGGGAUACCCUCCUCAGGGGCUGCAAAUGCUCUGCGGAGGAGGCUUCCUCUCAGAGCUGUGUGGUUCCUGGGCCCCCAUGUCUCAGGAUGCUUUUCCGUUGGGAUACCAUCCUCCCUCAGAGCUGUCCUGAGAUUCCGAGAUUCCGAGUCCCAGGACACCUUCCCACCCCAGCAGGAAGGCCAGCGUUUUGGUUCCGUGACCCAGAUAGGCUCUCCGGGUGCUUGUGCUCCCCUCGUGGUCUGAGCAGCACUAGGACCCUAUCCUUCUUCUCCAGUUGGCCUGUAGCAGACUCACUUCAGGCUCAACCCAUGCACCAGCAAUGGUUAGGGAGAAGCCAGCCAAAGAAUGUCUCGUGGUAUUCCAGCCGAUUCUUCCCACUUCCGAUGGGUUAAGCCACCGUUACUGAUUCGCAUUUGGUGUUUGCUAUUGGACUGAACCUGCUGAUAUCCUGACAUGAAGCUUAGAGUCGAUCUAAAGAACUACUUCUAAACAGGUCCACAAUGCCCUUGUCCUAGUAACCGUAUCUCUCCCCUACCUCUGGUCGGUGCUCUAGAAGGGAGAUUGAUGCAUUGAAGAACCCCAAAUAAAAUAGGCU
rnacentral:lncRNA from 1 species